rnacentral:rRNA from 1 species
AUCAUGGCUCAGGAUGAACGCUAGCUACAGGCUUAACACAUGCAAGUCGAGGGGAAACGAUAGAGAAAGCUUGCUUUUUCUAGGCGUCGACCGGCGCACGGGUGAGUAACGCGUAUCCAACCUGCCCAUCACUUGGGGAUAACCUUGCGAAAGUAAGACUAAUACCCAAUGACGUCUCUAGAAGACAUCUGAAAGAGAUUAAAGAUUUAUCGGUGAUGGAUGGGGAUGCGUCUGAUUAGCUUGUUGCGGGUAACGGCCCACCAAGGCGACGAUCAGUAGGGGUUCUGAGAGGAAGGUCCCCCACAUUGGAACUGAGACACGGUCCAACUCCUACGGGAGGCAGCAGUGAGGAAUAUUGGUCAAUGGACGAGAGUCUGAACCAGCCAAGUAGCGUGCAGGAUGACGGCCCUAUGGGUUGUAAACUGCUUUUAUAAGGGAAUAAAGUGAGUCUCGUGAGGCUUUUUGCAUGUACCUUAUGAAUAAGGACCGGCUAAUUCCGUG